GUUAUGAGGUUAGUGUUGGUGUAAACGAAAUUGGAGUACGAGGCUAUUAAAGUAUUUAGAGUUGAAUCCGGGAAGAUGGAAAAUCAAUCGAACGAGGAGAAGAGAGGAAGAGAUCAUCUGGCGGCGGCGACCGAAAGCACCGAUUUCACCUUCGGUGUCGGAUUCCGUGUGAUUGAGAGAGCCGGACGACGGAAGCCGCUUGUGUCUAAGCAUCCCUCCGCUGGUUGGUUGAUCCUGAAGCAGCUCUCCAAGUGUGAGAGAUCAUUCGAUGACCGCGCGCAUUGAAGUUUGAAGAAAUUAUAUACCUCUGAAUACUGAUGAAGGAGGUUCACUUCUACUGCGUAAAUUGAUCUCAGGCUCAGGUAUAUACUUGAUUUUUUAUUUUGUUGCUCAAUUUUUCUUUGAGUUUCUUGUUGCUGUUAUGAAAAAUUGACAUUAUUGGUACGUACGGAAAACAUUUUCAUCUUGUGUGGGACUGCAUUUUAAGAUCAUAGAUCAUUUCAUACCAACUUGUAACUUGAGAGCAGCAGUAUCAGUAUUGGUGUUUAUCAAUACACUUAAUGCACUCAAAUCUAAGGUGUCCCUGGAAA